UGGGGAAUCUUGCGCAAUGGGCGAAAGCCUGACGCAGCGACGCCGCGUGAGGGAGGAAGGCCUUCGGGUUGUAAACCUCUUUCAGGAGGGACGAAGCUACUCGGGUUAAUAGCCCAGAGGGUGACGGUACCUCCAGAAGAAGCCCCGGCUAACUACGUGCCAGCAGCCGCGGUAAUACGUAGGGGGCGAAGCGUUGUCCGGAUUUACUGGGCGUAAAGCGCGUGUAGGCGGCCGCACAGGUCCGUUGUGAAAACUGGAGGCUUAACCUCCAGACGUCGACGGAAACCGUGUGGCUAGAGUCCGGAAGAGGAGAGUGAAAUUCCUGGUGUAGCGGUGAAAUGCGCAGAUAUCAGGAAGAACACCAUGGCGAAGGCAGCUCUCUGGGACGGUACUGACGCUGAGACGCGAAAGCGUGGGGAGCGAACAGGAUUAGAUACCCUGGUAGUCCACGCCGUAAACGAUGGGUGCUAGGUGUGGGAGGUGUCGACUCCUUCCGUGCCGUAGCUAACGCAUUAA
rnacentral:rRNA from 1 species